UGCUUUAUGAAAUAUAAUAUAAAGUAAUCUCCUGCCCAGUGAAUAAUUUUCAACGGCCGCGGUAUCCUAACCGUGCAAAGGUAGCAUAAUAAUUUGCUCAUUAAUUGUGGGCUAGAAUGAAUGGGGUAACGAAAUAAGCUCUGUGUCAAUGAAACAUAUAAAAACUAUUCUCCAAGUGAAGAAACUUAGAUUAAAUUAAAAGACAAGAAGACCCUAUAGAGCUUUAUUUUCUAAUUUCAUAGUAACUAAAAAAUUCGGUUGGGGCGACCUAGGAACUAAUCAUCCUUAAUUUACAUGAUUUAUAAAUCUUACUAAUGACCCUUUUAAGAUCAAUAGAACAAGCUACCUUAGGGAUAACAGGCUAAUCCUAUUUUAGAGCUCAUAUCAACAAUAGGGAUUGGCACCUCGAUGUUGGCUUAAAAUAUCUAUGUGGCGCAGAUGUCGCAUAAAGAAGGUUUGUUCAACCUAUAAUAUUU
rnacentral:rRNA from 1 species